AAGCUUUUAUGAAUAGCGAGCACGUGCAGCAAGGCGAGUUGCUUUGUUUGUUUCUUACAGAAAGCGGUCUGUCGUUUUCAUAUGCCAAAACAAGUGUAGGGAGAUAUUUCGUAUUGUAUUUUUUAUUACAUGUGAUGUUCUGAACUCUUAAAACUACUCGCAUCUUCUUUUAUUUUUUCAGACCUGAAAAAUGGCCAAGCCUCCACAGCCAGGCCUCAGACCACGGUGCCGAGGCGCUCUUACGGAGUCCACCAGGACGAAGAGAAAUUCAUAUAGCAAGGCAGAGUGUGGAAAGCAGUAGAGAUCUACAAAAUGGCGGACGGAGUACGGAUAUCAGGACGGAGCCAUGUAUUAUCACUGCGUUGAUUCCCG